rnacentral:rRNA from 1 species
UACGUAGGGGGCAAGCGUUGUCCGGAAUUAUUGGGCGUAAAGAGCGUGUAGGCGGUCCGGUAAGUCAGCUGUGAAAGUCAAGGGCUCAACCCUUGAAAGCCGGUUGAUACUGUCGGGCUAGAGUCCGGAAGAGGCGAGUGGAAUUCCCGGUGUAGCGGUGAAAUGCGCAGAUAUCGGGAAGAACACCCGUGGCGAAGGCGGCUUCUGGGACGGUACUGACGCUGAGACGCGAAAGCGUGGGGAGCGAACAGG